ACCAGCUUUUAAAAAAAAAACAAGAGAAAAAGCUCUCCUCUUCUCUCUGGGCCGACCCAGAUCUCGGCCAGGAGGGCCACUGCGCGCCGUCGUUGUUCCGUCGCCGCCGGCCACCGUGGAUGGUGGCCGGAACCUCAAAAAAGGUGCAGAGGGCGGUGGAGGUGACUGGUGGGGCGGUGCUGCAGGGUCGUCAGAGGCAAGUGGGGAGGUGGCAAUAGUUAGGUUUAGGGUUUCUCUUUUUUUUUUUAUUUGGGCUUAAGGUUUGUAGUUGGGCUAGGGGUUUUGGGCAUUGUUGAGUGGGCCAAAAUUGGACCUCAACAAUAAUGAUAAUAUAAAAAAUAUAGCAAUAAUAAAAUGAUGAUAUUAAUACAUAAA